CGCAUCUGUGCAUGCAGCAUAUCAAUAAGCGGAGGAAAAGGAGCAUACCUACGCUUAGGAUGUUGACACACGCGCGUGCUCGACUCUAUACAUGACUCUGUGCAUAUCAAUAAGCGGAGGAAAAGAGGGCUAUUACCUACGCUUAGGAUGUUGACACACGCGCGUGCUCGACUCUAUACAUGACUCUGUGCAUAUCAAUAAGCGGAGGAAAAGAAACUAACAAGGAUUCCCUUAGUAACGGCGAGUGAAGCGGGAAGAGCUCAAAUUUGAAAUCUUCAAGGUUUUACCUUGACGAAUUGUAGUUUAAAGAAGUGUUUUCUGUUGAAGUUUUGGUAAAAGUUCUUUGGAAUAGGACAUCAUAGAGGGUGAGAAUCCCGUAUUUGACCAUUAUUUUCAGCUGUGUGAUACACUUUCAAAGAGUCGGAUUGUUUGGGAAUGCAGUCCAAAAUGGGUGGUAAAUUUCAUCUAAAGCUAAAUAUUGGCGAGAGACCGAUAGCGAACAAGUACCGUGAGGGAAAGAUGAAAAGAACUUUGAAAAGAGAGUUAAACAGUACGUGAAAUUGUCAAAAGGGAAGCGUUUGACACCAGUGUUGUUUUCUCGAAAAUCAAUUAAAAAGAGUUUAGAUUUUGUUGUGUAUUGACCUUAACAGCUUGCAUUUCAAUUUUCUUGCUUUUUUUAAUGCACUUUUCGUUUAACAAGUCAACAUCAGUUUCUUUUGUUGUAAAAAGGUCAUUGGAAGGUGGCUUUCUUUUCGGAGAAAGUGUUUAUAGCCUUUGACUCCUGCAAUCGGAGAGACUGAGGUCUGCAGCGUAGAUCCUUCGGGGUUAGAUACAUUUGUGCUAAGUUAUAGCUUUUUAUAGACAACUUGUUGACUAUGAUUAGUCUUGUAGCUUACUCGCUUAUGCUAUUUUACCUACGCUUAGGAUGUUGACACACGCGCGUGCUCG
rnacentral:rRNA from 1 species